UUUCAGAUAGCUCAGUCAGUAAAGCAUGAGACUUUUAAUCUCAGCAUUGUGGGUUUGCACCCCAUACCGGGCAAAA